AUUGAACGCUGGCGGCAUGCUUUACACAUGCCAGUCGAGCGGCAGCGCGGGGGCAACCCUGGCGGCGAGCGGCGAACGGGUGAGUAAUGCAUCGGAACGUAUCCUCGAGUGGGGGAUAACCCAGCGAAAGUUGGGCUAAUACCGCAUGAGCUCUGAGGAGGAAAGCGGGGGACCUGCGAGGGCCUCGCGCUGGAGGAGCGGCCGAUGUCCGAUUAGCUAGUUGGUGGGGUAAAGGCUUACCAAGGCGACGAUCGGUAGCUGGUCUGAGAGGAUGAUCAGCCACACUGGGACUGAGACACGGCCCAGACUCCUACGGGAGGCAGCAGUGGGGAAUGUUGGACAAUGGGGGCAACCCUGAUCCAGCCAUGCCGCGUGAGUGAAGAAGGCCUUCGGGUUGUAAAGCUCUUUCGGACGGAACGAAAUGGGCGGGACUAAUACUCCUGUCUGAUGACGGUACCGUAAGAAGAAGCACCGGCUAACUACGUG
rnacentral:rRNA from 1 species